GACGAACCGAGCGAACGUUGUUCGGAAUAACUGGGCUUAAAGGGCGCGUAGGCGGGCCGCCAAGUUUGAGGUGAAAUCCUCCGGCUCAACCGGAGAACUGCCUCGAAUACUGGAGGCCUCGAGGCGGGUAGGGGCACGCGGAACUGUGGGUGGAGCGGUGAAAUGCGUUGAUAUCCACAGGAACUCCGGUGGCGAAGGCGGCGUGCUGGACCCGAUCUGACGCUGAGGCGCGAAAGCCAGGGGAGCAAACGGG
rnacentral:rRNA from 1 species